rnacentral:tRNA from 1 species
GCCCCCGUAGCUCAGUUGGAUAGAGCAGUGGUUUUCUAAACCAAAGGUCGUAGGUUCGAUUCCUGCCGGGGGCACCA